UCGGAUAUGGUGUAACGGCUAACAUUGCCGCCUUUCAUCUGUUCACUCUAGAAGAGUUCCGCGGCAGCUCGGGGUUCGAUUCCCCGUAUCCGAA